rnacentral:piRNA from 1 species
CAACGUUGUAAUGCCGUCGGAU